CCGGCGACCGGCGCACGGGUGAGUAACACGUAUGCAACCUGGCCCUCUUCAGGGGGACAACCUUCCGAAAGGGAGGCUAAUCCCGCGUAUAUCGGUUUCGGGCAUCCGAGAUCGAGGAAAGAUUCAUCGGAAGAGGAUGGGCAUGCGGCGCAUUAGCUAGACGGCGGGGUAACGGCCCACCGUGGCGACGAUGCGUAGGGGUUCUGAGAGGAAGGUCCCCCACACUGGUACUGAGACACGGACCAGACUCCUACGGGAGGCAGCAG
rnacentral:rRNA from 1 species